GUGUCAGCCGCCGCGGUAAUACGUAGGGUGCGAGCGUUAAUCGGAAUUACUGGGCGUAAAGCGUACGCAGGCGGCUGCGCAAGACAGGUGUGAAAUCCCCGGGCUUAACCUGGGAACUGCAUUUGUGACUGCGCAGCUAGAGUUUGUCAGAGGGGGGUGGAAUUCCACGUGUAGCAGUGAAAUGCGUAGAGAUGUGGAGGAACACCGAUGGCGAAGGCAGCCCCCUGGGACCUGACUGACGCUCAUGUACGAAAGCGUGGGGAGCAAACAGGAUUAGAUACCCCCGUAGUCC
rnacentral:rRNA from 1 species